AUUGAACGCUGGCGGCGUGCUUAACACAUGCAAGUCGAGCGGUAACAGGUGUAGCAAUACAUGCUGACGAGCGGCGAACGGGUGAGUAAUGCUUCGGAAUCUUCCUAGUAGUGGGGAAUAACCUGGGGAAACUCAGGCUAAUACCGCAUACGAACUACGGUUGAAAGCAGGGGAUCGCAAGACCUUGCGCUAUUAGAUGAGCCGAAGUCGGAUUAGCUAGUUGGUGAGGUAACGGCUCACCAAGGCGACGAUCCGUAGCUGGUCUGAGAGGACGACCAGCCACACUGGGACUGAGACACGGCCCAGACUCCUACGGGAGGCAGCAGUGGGGAAUAUUGGACAAUGGGGGCAACCCUGAUCCAGCGACGCCGCGUGUGUGAAGAAGGCCUGCGGGUUGUAAAGCACUUUUAGUGGGGACAAAAAGCCGAGGGCUAAUACUCUUCGGUCUUGAUUUAACCCAAAGAAAAAGCACCGGCUAACUCUGUGCCAGCCGCCGCCGUAAGAC
rnacentral:rRNA from 1 species